ACAGCAGCCGCCGCGGUAAUACGGAGGGAGCUAGCGUUGUUCGGAAUUACUGGGCGUAAAGCGCGCGUAGGCGGUUACUCAAGUCAGAGGUGAAAGCCCGGGGCUCAACCCCGGAACUGCCUUUGAAACUAGGUGACUAGAAUCUUGGAGAGGUCAGUGGAAUUCCGAGUGUAGAGGUGAAAUUCGUAGAUAUUCGGAAGAACACCAGUGGCGAAGGCGACUGACUGGACAAGUAUUGACGCUGAGGUGCGAAAGCGUGGGGAGCAAACAGGAUUAGAUACCCCAGUAGUCCCUGUCUCUUAUAC
rnacentral:rRNA from 1 species